rnacentral:rRNA from 1 species
GCGACCCCAGGUCAGGCGGGACUACCCGCUGAGUUUAAGCAUAUCAAUAAGCGGAGGAAAAGAAACUUACCAGGAUUCCCCUAGUAACGGCGAGCGAACCGGGAAUAGCCCAGCUUGAGAAUCGGGCGCCCUCGGCGUUCGA